rnacentral:rRNA from 1 species
CCCUUACUCCUACGGGAGGCAGCAGUGGGGAAUAUUGCACAAUGGGCGAAAGCCUGAUGCAGCGACGCCGCGUGAGGGAUGACGGCCUUCGGGUUGUAAACCUCUUUCAGUAGGGAAGAAGCGAAAGUGACGGUACCUGCAGAAGAAGCGCCGGCUAACUACGUGCCAGCAGCCGCGGUAAUACGUAGGGCGCAAGCGUUAUCCGGAUUUAUUGGGCGUAAAGAGCUCGUAGGCGGUUUGUCGCGUCUGCCGUGAAAGUCCGAGGCUCAACCUCGGAUCUGCGGUGGGUACGGGCAGACUAGAGUGAUGUAGGGGAGACUGGAAUUCCUGGUGUAGCGGUGAAAUGCGCAGAUAUCAGGAGGAACACCGAUGGCGAAGGCAGGUCUCUGGGCAUUUACUGACGCUGAGGAGCGAAAGCAUGGGGAGCGAACAGGAUUAGAUACCCUGGUAGUCCAUGCCGUAAACGUUGGGCACUAGGUGUGGGGAACAUUCCACGUUUUCCGCGCCGUAGCUAACGCAUUAAGUGCCCCGCCUGGGGAGUACGGCCGCAAGGCUAAAACUCAAAGGAAUUGACGGGGGCCCGCACAAGCGGCGGAGCAUGCGGAUUAAUUCGAUGCAACGCGAAGAACCUUACCAAGGCUUGACAUGUGCCAGACCGCUCUAGAGAUGGAGUCCCCUUUG